CCCAUUGAGUUUAAGCAUAUCAAUAAGCGGAGGAAAAUAAACUUAUAAGGAUUCCCUUAGUAACGGCGAGUGAACCGAGAAUAUCCCAACCUUAUAAUCGGGGAGCUCCGUCAUCCAAAUUGUAGUAUAGAGAAGCGUCCUCAGCGGCAGAUCGGGCCCAAGUCCCCUGGAAGGGAGCACCAAAGAGAGUGAGAGCCUCGUUGUGUCUGUACCCUAUCGCACCACGAGGCACUAUCUAUGAGUCGGGUUGUUUGGGAAUGCAGCCCAAAUUGGGCGGUGAAUUCUGUCCAAGGCUAAAUACGGGCGAGAGACCAAUAACGAACAAGUACCGCGAGGGAAAGAUGAAAAAGACUUUGAAAAGAGAGUCAAAGAGUGCUUGAAAUUGUCGGGAGGGAAGAAGAUGGGGGCUGGCGCCCUAGUCAGAUAUUGAAUGGUGAUGAGCCGGUCCACCG
rnacentral:ncRNA from 2 species